GUGCGCAUGGCAUAUUGAUACGGAAGUGUUACGAUACUUCCUGUUGUGUGAAAAAGUAUUAUUUCACCUCCAUAUCAGACAUAUUUAUAUGUUAUAUAUUUGAAUGUAUUAUAUAUGAAUAAUAUUUGGGCAUCAUGAUCUUCAGUUGCUGCUUCAUCUGUGUGUUUGCAGUGCUGGUAAAUAAAGUGUGUCUGCAGGUCACAGUAGAGGCUGUCGUUGGUGGUUCUGUCGUUCUGCCGUGUUCUUCUGCUAAACAUGAUCUUAAACUUCAAGAUAUUGAAGUGUUUUGGAGACACA
ensembl:lncRNA